GGUAAGGGCAGGCCACGGUCGCGUGCAGGAUAGACGGUUCUUCGGGGUGUAAAACUCUGUUGUCAGGGAAGAACAGUGCGUUAGGAAAUGAACGUACCUUGACGGUACCUUAUUAGAAAGCCCCGGCUAACAACCUGCCACCACCCGCGUAUAAUAA
rnacentral:rRNA from 1 species